AACAUACAUAAACAUUUACAUAAAGUGGAGUGACUUAUACCCUUUAGCCUUGGCCACCCUUAUCUUUUUGCCUUGCACUCAUUUUAGCUUAGUUUCCAUUCUCUUAUUGGCGUAGAUUCUAUUGGUGGCGUGCACUCCUAAUGCAGAAAUGGUUUAAUUCUGAAAUACUACAAGGCAGUAGGCGACACUGAUGAGACAAGGAGAAUGCAGACCUAUACCUGGACCCAAAGUGGACUGGAUCGAUCCGUCGCUGGACAAUCAUCAAGUCCCCAAGUUACCAGUGGUCAGAUGAGUGAGAUUCCUUGCAGCUAUUCUCGUCAAUAUGGGCCAGUCAGACCAGCUGUCCUGUAUAUAGAAGGUGGUCGAUGCCUACCACACAGCGGACAAGUAACCAGUGGAGGUUACUGGAGUGGACCGAACCUGAAUCAACAGGCUUCAAUGGUGUACAUAAACUCAUCUCAGCAUUCACCCACCAAAGAGCAAGUUCUAACGGGUACUAGUCCCCUUUUGACAUCACUCUGGACUAACAAUGCAGCGGCUGCUCAAUCAACUGGUGUUACAUCACAAAGUGGAAACCGUCACACCUUGCCCGGAAGGGUUAACAGUGCAGCUCAGCCCACUUUUCAGCAGGGACAGAGGUUUUUGGGUGUUAAAAAAAACAAUCCACAGAGGCUCGUAAAGGAUGGUCAGGGUCCAACCAUUCACUGCCCCCCUCAUAUUAAUGCACCACUGAAUACAAAUGUUAUGUAUCAUCUAAGCCCAGUGAGUGGCAGUCAGCAGCUUGUACUUGGCAGACAAGAGGGGGCCUCCAGUGGUACCUCUGCUUCUCUUGCAAUGGGUAGGAGCCCCAACCAUGUAAAUCAUAAAUUGACUGUAGUGAGUGGGCAGGAUUCAAGAAGGAUAGCAGUUCAAGCUCCUCAUCAGGGAAACCCACAAACACCAAACUCUUUGCAAAGUGGACAGGAGACAACAUAUAACCAACUGUUGUAUUUACUUCAAAAUCAGAACAAUGACAGCAGGGCUGAGAUGAACAGGGUGCACCAACAUGGAGCACCUGUCCACACUGGCUCAUCAAACCACAGUCAAAUGUAUCCCUCUCAACUUCUCACUGGCAGCAACAACCAGGUCAAUGUAUCAAAUGCUACAGUGGGGCAGUCAAUGCCAAUGCAUAACAUUAGCCAGAAUCCUCAGUACAAUGUUAUGUAUAACCCUCCUUUUAAUAAUUCUCCAAGACAUGUCCCCAUCUGCCCUAAAAGCUUUCCCAUCCCACCACAACAGAACAGACUCCCAUCUUAUUGUGCAAAUAAUAACAGUCAGGCAGGGCCCAUUGGAAAUAAUGCACACUAUGCCUCUCAUCCUAGGCUCCAUAUCCAAGGCACAUGCCCUACCCUACAUUACAAGCCAGACUGCACCAAUGUUCUGGUAGGCAACGCUGGACCAUCUUCAUCUGUGCCAAACUAUAGUAUACAGCCCUCAGUCCAGCACAACCGUGAGACCGCGCCUCCACCAUACCCAGUCCAGCACAAGCGUAAGUCCGCGCCUCCACCAUACCCAGGCCAGCACUCCCAUGGACCCGUGCUGAACAAGACGGAACAUGUGGUUGGGGCAGGAGCGCAUUUUCUGCAACACGUGCCUAACCAAGGUGCAGCCCCUACCCUACAUUACAAGCCAAAAAACACCUAUGUUCAGUUAUCCAACACUGGACCAUCUUCAUCUGUGCCAAACCAUGGUAUGCUGUCUUCAGGCCAGCAAAACUGUGAGUCUGUGACUCCGUCACACCCCAUAAGACAGGGCUAUUACAUAACAGUAACAGAGGACAAAAGUGGAAAUGGAUUUAGAACAGAAAAUUUUAUUUUCAUAGGAGAUAAACCUAAUGAAAGUGCUCUGGUCCUGCAAGGAUCAUCUGCAAGUAAUGCCCCCUCUGUUCUUACGACACAGAAGGCCGUUGCAGUUGUACAACCACUAUCGCAGUGUAUGCAGACAAACACACCUCUAAAUGUGGCUGAUAAAAUCUCCUUGACUACCCAAGGUAUGUCUUUCUUAACAGGUGUCAAAAAUGUGAGCAACCCUGGGGAAGAAUCUUGUGACCAAAGUCCAUCACAAGCCCAAACAACCCUUAUUCUAUCUGCUUCUUUGACAAAUGAAUCUGAACAAGAGGUCCCCAAGAUCAGACUAGAAUCAGGGGCUGAUAAAACAUUGACCAAGGGUUCAGAAACUUCUGAUGUUGAAAUGGCCAAGAUAUAUUCAUGUUUUAAGCCUCAACGGUCAUUAUCAAACGGGUUAUGUGCAGAGAAAUUUGAUUCUCAACCAUUACCUAAUGUGGAAUGUCAAGCCACUCAGAGAAAAGAGUUAGCUGACACAGAAAUGACCACUCAUGUGCAUGUUAACCAAUUGAGUGAGGAAACGAAUGAAAAAGUCGAUUCCGAUGAGGACAUUUUUGAAUUGUCCUCCAUUCCUGUAAUCAAAUGGACCCUUGGUAAAUUGAAGGAGUUGGUAGAUACUGUGCAAAGUCAAAAAUGCACUGCCACACCAGUUGAAAGCAAAAUACUAAGCCUCUAUUGGGACGGAGAUGGGCCAAAGCUUAUGGAUGCUGCAAGAUCUGGUAUGUUACAAAAUAUAAUGGAAGAGGUUAGAUCUGUGUGUGGCGACGAUGACGAUAUGUCAUCACAGUCUGUCAUAUUUUCACAAGCCAGGCGCAAAAACUGGGGUCAAGUUGAAGAGAAAUGUGCCAUUCUUAAACAUGAUUCUGUUCACCCCGAGUUCCCAGCGCAAGAGUCAUCGUGGUUGAACACAAAUAAGCAGCUUGAUGACAUAGACAAGGAGUUUGGAUUCCCAUGGUCACUAAGAUAUGACCAAAAGACUCUUCAUAGAGGAGAUGAACAAACAAAACUGAUUUGUACCGAAAAUGAAAAAUCUGCGGACUCUGCCAAUGACAUGCAGACUGAGGUGGCUCAGACGAAGAGACCAACACCCUCUGAUUCUGAUGCUAAAGAAAUUCAAGGGUCAGGUUUGGUACACGGUUCCACCCAGACCCUCUCACUGGUUAAGAGAGAGGCAGGUAUCAUUUUUAGUGACCCAUUUUCCUCCCUGGAGAUCAACGUGCUGACACCAGAAGAAGCUUUGAUGUUUUUCAGUGGGCAGCUACCACAAGAUAAAGUGAAUGAAGAAGACCUGUUGGAAUUGCCAAUGGAAAUGGACGCGGAGCUGAUUGAGUUGAAAGAUUACUCAGUGGAGGAUAAGUCAUCUGAGAGGGUAGAUGUGAAGUUGACUGAUUUAAAACUCGAAAACAAAGGGGAUGCCCAAUCAGAAGAUUACUGUUGCCUCUCUCGUUGGAUGGCAGUGUUCAGUGGGUCCACCAAUUCUUCGUCCUGCAAAUGCCAAUACGAGACUAAAUUGGGUUCAGCAAAGGCCACUGUGAAUGCGACGCCGUUGGUUGAGGUAACAUUGUCUGUUGAACCCAACACAACAAAAGCAGAACAAAGGGAAUGCCUGCAAUUGUCUAAAUCAAAUGGCACAGCAGAAGAAAAGAGGGAAGAGAAUCCUGUAAAAAAUUUGAAUCCUCAAUCUUGGAAAUCUACAGGCAUUCAAGAAUGCCAAACAAUUGUUUUGUCUGAUAGCAAAUCUGAGACUGCUCGCAUAUACACAAAUUGGGUGAAGAGCUUGCCUUUGUCAAAAGCCCCAGCACUGCAACUCCCCAUCAACCACACAAACAUUGUUGAAAUUGAAGAGGUCUUCUCCCGUUAUGAAGACUUUAUUAAAGUAGACACCCCAAUAUCGGAGAUAGUUUGGGACGAUGUACAGCCAAAGCAGAAACUACCAGGUCUGUUCCAGAAACGUAUAGAAUGUGUACAAGAACUUGGUGUCAUUUUGGAAGAAGGAAACCCUAGAGGUAGUGAAGUCGUUCCUACAGUUCCCAUUCCUACUUCUAAUCUGCAACCCCAACCAACAGACAAAAUCGGUUUCCUUACAUCACUUUCCUUGGCACAAAGAUGUCACAAACAUCUCUCUCCUAAAACAAAUUGUAGCUACAAGGUUAAACAAAAAGGGGUUGGACUCAAGAGAAGAUGUGUUGAAAGUCCGCAUUCAAAUUUGCCUGUCCCAAGAAAGCAAAGGAAAAUGAGGGAUGGAUUAGGUCCCUCCUUUCAACUCGUUCCUGAGGUCAACUUGACUGAUGAUGAUGUUUUUGAGCCCCCCAAUACAACUACUUCUAAAUCUUUGGAAGAAGAGAAACAUUCAAAAGGUAGCAAUCUCCAGAAGCCAACAGAACAUGGAAUUGGGAACAACAUUUGGAGGGUUGGCACAGUAAGUCUAGCCUUGUUUGGUUCCGCGCUCCAGAGGAAAAAUGGGGCUUUAACAACUGACCAACGCAAGGACCAUAAUACUUCUCGAGCAAGACCUUUUGCAGACAAUGCUCCAGCACCUCCUAUAACCCUCAGUGUGAAUGUCAACUCCUGGACCAGUCCUCCAGCGGAAAGCCCAAUCAAACAAUGGAUCUUAAACGAGUGGAAUAAUAGUUUUAUCCCGACAAAGACAAAGUCCAGGGGCAAAGUGUCAAAACUACAAAACAGAAGAGGCUUUGCUCCAAAGAUUAUUUGUGCUGAAAUGGCCAAAAAGACUGUUGCCCUCACCAACACAGAUAGAGGUGCAUUAUCCUCUGAAAGGCGAGCCAAACCAGAAAGAACUGUAAAGGCCAAGCAGACUUUGCGGCGUGUUGAAAGAGAAAGAAUCUUAAACGGCCUGAAACUCGGACCAAAGAAAUCUAGGAUUGAGGCAGUGCCAUCCAGUAUCCCUGAUCUAGUGGAACAAAGUAAAUAUGAGAUCGGAAACCCAGCUCCUUUGCCUCAUGAGCAGAACAGUCUUAUGUUUAGUGUGCUGCCGGAGUCGUUCAACUUCAAAGACGUCAUGGACCCUCCGACACAGACAGGUUCAAUGAAUGACAUGGCUGGUCCGGUUGCUGCGAAGGCUGAGAGUCCUCAGACGAUAGUCCAAAAAUCCCAAGGUGUAUGGUCUGUUGGCAUUCAGAAGAGAUAUUGUCCUCUCACCUCUUUGACCACUAAAGUUCCCAAGUCUUCCUCCACCACCUUCCAGAAGUUUCAGAAGAAAUUCAAGCAGAAGAAGUAGGCCUGGCAGCUAACCCACGACAAAUUGUAUUGUCUCCAGUUAUGGACUGGGGGAGUGGAGUGAGGACUGUCGCAUGACAAUCUGAUUCUUGUAACUUGUUUCCCAUGGAAAUAUAUGUACAAUUUUUGUUUUUAAUGACAAAUAUUCAUAACCAAUGUAUAUUCUUUGGGAAUGCAGAAAUUGACCUCAUUGUGGCAAGGUUGGGCAGCUCAUAAUACAGUUAUUAUUUACUGUAGUUAUUGUUUACAUUCUUAAGUGACUGAGAAUUUAUCUGACAGUGUCCUCUCUACCUCAGGCCUGACAGGUGUUGGUUCCACUUUUCUUGGCUCCAUUAUUUACUUAACAAAUAAGGAACACUCAAUGUGCACUUAUAAAUUAGAACAAUUUUCAUCAAAAUACAGCUGUAGACCGAAGUCAAAGAUCAAACAUCACACAUACAACUGAUGUCUCUCCUGUGUUCUGCUAAAUAGGAAAAGUCCAAGUUGCUUUUAAUAUGCUUGCAGUCAACCCCUAGUGAUGUAAAUGCCUACGUCAUUACCCUCUACUCAUGAGACCAAGCCCAUGCAUACACAGCUUUACACAUAAUGUUGAGUUCCAGUGUUUUCUAAAGGCUCAGCAGUACAUGUCCACUCCCCAAGUUGAUUUAUGGUGGUAUGUCUGACUAGUCUCUUAUCUCUUUCACUCCCCUGCAGGGUUCUGUGUCUAUGAAUCUCUUUUAUCUUUGAGGCGCUUUCUCAGACACCCUGUUUUGACUGCAAUAACUCACACAGCUCUCAGACCGUUUCUUAUAAGAAGCAGACUAUAAAAUAACUGUGGAACAAUAUUACACCUUAUAAUGCAUAUAUAUAUUGUUCAUUUGUAGUCUAGGACCCUAUAAAUGUAAGGGGGGACAGGUCUUAUAACCCUUCCCCUUCUAUUAAUACAACAUAAGCAUAACCAAUUAUUAUAAUACAUCAAACAUUUGGUGCAGCCCCUAUCAUGACCCCAUCACAGGCAACAUUGCGAAACUUCAUCUAAUUUAAAAAACCCUAAAGUUUUUUGUGUGUCAUUGGAUUGCUGUAUUUUAAUGUUUAUUUUCUUGUCAGUGUUGUCUGACAUUUUUGGGGGGUAAACAGUAUUUUAUGCAAACCUCAUGUUUACUGUAUCACAGAAUGUGAACUAUGCCAAAUUCACUGCGGUUUGUAUGAAUUUGUAAGUUAUCAUUCUGCCCACCUCUCUACCGUUCCCUUUUACAAUCUUAUAACAAGUGGGUACCUUACCAAUAGAUAUUUUUCUGGAGUUUAAACCGAUUCCGUUUGUUUACACGGGAUGAACAGUAUUGUAUGAUUUAGAGAUACUAAGCCAGCUGAAACAAGGUUCCAUUGCAGUAUUCUGGAUGCAUAUACCAGGAAACCUGUAUGUUUGUAGUAACCACUGACCUGGUGCAUUUACAUUAUAUUUUCAUAUGUUUGUUCGACCUAGUGUUAUUUCUUUAUGUUGGUGUAUGUUAUUUGUUUCUAAAUAUUUUUGUACACUUAAAAAUAUAUUGUCAGCAGCAUCCUUCACUUGGCUCUUGUUGAUUUUAUAGGGGACUAAAGUAAGACAGGCAGGGUACAUUCUUACCAGACGUGUCUGGUUAGGUGUGAAUGCUAACCCUUUUUAUGGUUAAAAGAAGGCUAUAUAGACCAUAUAAAGUGUAGUAUUGGGAUGCAAACUCAAAAUGUAAUACAUUUCUAAUCUGAAAUUCUAAAUAUCUGACAUGGUACAGGUGUAUUUUUUUAUUUUUUUUAAAGCCCAUAACCAUGUGUGUGAGGUUUGUACUUUUGUUUCAAAGUUAAUCAUCUUUAAACACCAGUCUCAACGUCAACAGUGAAGAGGCGACUCCAGGAUACUGGCCUAGGCAGAGUUGCAAAGAAAAAGCCAUAUCUCAGACUGGCCAAUAAAAAUAAAAGAUUCAGAUGGGCAAAAGAACAGACACUGGACAGAGGAACUCUGCCUAGAAGGCCAGCAUCCCGGAGUCGCCUCUUCACUGUUGACGUUGAGACUGGUGUUUUGCGGGUACUAUUUAAUGAAGCUGCCAGUUGAUGACUUGAGACGUCUGUUUCUCAAACUAGACACUCUAAUGUACUUGUCCUCUUACUCAGUUGUGCACCGGGGCCUCCACUCCUCUUUCCAUUCUGGUUAGAGCCAGUUUGCGCUGUUCUGUGAAGGGAGUAUUACACAGCGUUGUACGAGAUUUUCAGUUUCUUGGCAAUUUCUCGCAUGGACUGGUGCUGAUCUCAAAGAUAUUGAACACAUGGAAAGAUUUUUUUUUUUUUUUUACUAAGACACAUGAAAUGUACUGUAUCCAAAGUAACCAUGUGAUUUAAUAUUGCAUGUAUACUAUGUCAGAGGAGUUGGAAGAUAAUGGUGGCGGAAAGACUAAGAGGAGUAAUUGCAUUAACAUAGGGGAUGUACCCAUAUGCUGUAUGUGCAUAAAAGAAGAGCCGAUGCUCAGGGAAGUUGUUCCAUGGACCAGCUCGGCUUUGCUACUCUGUAUUAAAGUCUGUAUUAAAUUCACAAGUUCUUGCAAGAGUAUUAUAUUCUUAAGACAAUUUUCCACAACAAUGCUCACACGACACCCGAACAUUCCUUUGUUUAUGCUCCAACUGUACCAUGGUAAUGAAUUUGUCCGGAGUCGGGAAUAGACAGACUGGCUGAGAAACGCUGCCUGUCUAAAUCAUCAAUCGGCUGCUUUAAUUUUUAUGGAUAUAUACAAAGAAAUGUCGAAAAAAGGUGAAACGAAGUACCAAGGUAAAAACAGUUAAGUUGGAUAUUCAACGGAUAUUCGUGCUUUCAAACCUCAAUAGCUUUCGAGCCACAGACUCCAAAUAAGUGUCAAGAUGUUGGAAAAAUUGCACAGGUCUUAUUUUCACGAUUUGGUCAUUAAUUUGCUUUCCAAAGCUAAUAAACGUGGAAAUGUGAGCAGCAUUUUGUAUUACUAGUUGAAUUAGUAAUGGAGUGUAAACAAAGUACAAACUUUUUACAUUUGAAUUUCAAUUGCUCAUGUGACCUACAUGACACAAGGUUCAGAAUGUCCACUGACUACCCUUCUAUAUUGCACAACCUUUGAUUUGUUCAUUUUCAUCUCACAGGUUUUUACAUUCAUUUUUCAAAAUUUCUCAUUUCAAUAGCUCCUUGGUCAUGUGACCUACUGGCUUCAAAUAAGGUUCAGAAUGUCCAGUCAGUGGGCCUACACAUUUCAUACCCUUUAGUUUGUCCGUUUU
rnacentral:lncRNA from 1 species